GAUGAAGAACGUAGCGAAAUGCGAUACUUGGUGUGAAUUGCAGAAUCCCGUGAACCAUCGAGUCUUUGAACGCAAGUUGCGCCCGAAGCCAUUAGGCCGAGGGCACGCCUGCCUGGGCGUCACACGUCGUUGCCCCCCCAUCUACUCCUUCGGGAUUGCGGGGGGCGGAUGAUGGCCUCCCGUGCGCCUCGCCGCGCGGUUGGCAUAAAUGACAAGUCCUCGGCGACGCACGCCACGACAAUCGGUGGUUGCGAAACCUCGGUUGCCCGUCGUGUGCGGUCGUCGCGCAUCGAGGGCUCGAAAAAAUUGCCGGGUUCCGGCUCGGCUUUCAACGCGACCCCAGGUCAGGCGGGGUUACCCGCUGAAUUUAAGCAUAUCAAUAAGCGGAGGA
rnacentral:misc_RNA from 1 species